UACGAAGGGGGCUAGCGUUACUCGGAUUGACUGGGCGUAAAGGGCGCGUAGGCGGUUCGUACAGUCAGACGUGAAAUUCCUGGGCUCAACCUCGGGGCUGCGUUUGAUACGUGCGGACUUGAGUUCGGAAGAGGGUCGUGGAAUUCCCAGUGUAGAGGUGAAAUUCGUAGAUAUUGGGAAGAACACCGGUGGCGAAGGCGGCGUCCUGGCUCGCAUCUGACGCUCAGACACGACAGCAUGGGGAGCGAACGGG
rnacentral:rRNA from 1 species